rnacentral:rRNA from 1 species
UACGUAGGGUGCGAGCGUUAAUCGGAAUUACUGGGCGUAAAGCGUGCGUAGGCGGUUCGUUAAGUCAGCUGUGAAAGCCCCGGGCUCAACCUGGGAACUGCGGUUGAAACUGGCGAACUAGAAUCUGGCAGAGGGGGGUGGAAUUCCACGUGUAGCAGUGAAAUGCGUAGAGAUGUGGAGGAACACCGGUGGCGAAGGCGGUUCUCUGGGCAUGACCUGACGCUGAGGAGCGAAAGUGUGGGGAGCGAACAGG